rnacentral:rRNA from 1 species
UACGUAGGGGGCAAGCGUUGUCCGGAUUUAUUGGGCGUAAAGCGCGCGUAGGCGGCGCGGUAUGUCGUGCGUGAAAUCUCCCGGCUUAACUGGGAGGGGCCGUGCGAAACUGCCGGGCUUGAGGUCAGAAGGGGAAAGUGGAAUUCCGGGUGUAGUGGGUGGAAUACGUAGAGUAUCCGGAGGAACACCAGCGGCGAAGGCGGCAUUUCUGGU